GGCUCACUGUGCUCCCAGUUGCUUCUGGGUUGCCCAUGCCAGAAGCUUCUGGAACCCGGCUGCCCUGGGAGGAUUAAGCCUCGAUUUUCUUCUUGACAGAGUGAGCAUUAAUUACUCUGUCCUCGGAGAAACCUCUCAGGCUUUUGGGGAGGAGGGACGGCCCUCUGAGGUGAAAGACCAUCACUAGCGGCCCUCAGGACUCUGACCUUCCCUCUGCUCCUGUCAGGACUGGGUCCUAUGGCUGUUACCUGCCAUUGCUUCGGAGAGGCGGCAAGGAAGAAGCGCCACAGCUCACCAGCACUUCACUACGCUGUUUCCAUUCCGCCUGGAUCUUGCCACAGACCUCUGCAGCCCUAUCCAGGCCCUGCUCCCAAGCUUCUCUACCCCAUGAAAUCUAGUCAUUCCACGGCGCUGAGGCCCUGUAGAGGCACCGGGCGGCAGAGGAGGCAGAUGUGUAAUCAAGGAAUGGCAUAUACUUCGUAAGCCUCGAGGUGCAAUGCAGUCAGCGCUCUACGGUUGUGGAUGUUCACUGGGGACUGAAAUGGUGAUUAGAUAUGCUUUUGUGUUUUUGGAAUUUGAUGGGGAUUGCACUGGAUCACUUUUGGUAAUAUCAUCACUGGACUGGUUUGACCCACUGGCUGCCAAGUUCCAAGAUGCCUUCCAGGCUAAAACCCGGACAUGUGAGCCACUGGCAGGCCCCAACAAUUACACGAACCAACGUGGAACCUGGGAAAGGCAGAGGACAUUUGGAAGAAGCACUGCUGGUUUGGAGCUCCAUGGAAGAAGAAAAGAAUUAAAGAAAACCCGUACUGGAGAAGGUAAAUCAACAUUCUCGAGGCGGACCAGCGGAUGUGCAUCCCCGCCCCCCUAGAGCACACAGGUGGCUGCUGUUAUCUCCUUUCCAAAGACAUUUCCAGCACGUGGCUUUCAGUCUGAGUUAAAAAUUAGGUUUACCAAGAGAGCUAGAAAAGUAGAUAUUUCUAUAUUAAUAAAGAUUGGUUUUUAUUUUGAUAGACAGGCUUAGUCCCUUAGCUGACCUCUGGCUUUUCACUCUUGCUGUUACUGCAAGGUGUCCUUAGGCUGUAAAAAAUACAGGGAUGAGGAGAAACGACUUCCAGCUCCUAUUUUAGCCACAAAUCGUGGUGUUACUAAUGACAUAAUUCUUGCCUAGGUCUUGCUAAAUCUGAGGUUAAUAAUUCUCCUUUAGGAACUGCACAGCACUCAGAACUGUGCAUACUGGUUUGUAAUUGUACAAAUUCAGUAUGGACAUCGCUUGGUGCAGAGGCACUACAGGAGAAGGUCCAGCUUGACCAUUUCUGAGUUUCCUGUAAGAUAAACCCGGUUUAAAAGAGGUUGAUACCAAAUUUUGGCUAAAAAUGAAAAAAUAGUUUUCGGCUCUGCCUCACCUCCCCAAAAGGUACCCAGAGCCACAGGUGUGGGUCUUAUCAGUACCCACGAGAGGAAUCGGGUCAAUGUCCACCCAAGCCAAGGUUAAAAGCCCACUCAUCUACGGAUGAGAAAAUCAUUUGAUCACCUCAGUUAAGCGUUGCCUUAUUUAACUUAAUUAAUAGGGGAGAGAGAGAUUGGAGACGUACUAUUGAAAGGGCAAGCCCUUCACUGCCUCCCACCCAAAUAAAAAAGCCAAUUGGCCUUGUACUACAAGAGCCGGUCGAACUCCUUCUCCCUGUUUCCCACCUAUCAUCCAAAAAUGCCGAGAAAUAUCAACUUAGUGUUAUUCUUAUUAUAGUGUAUUUCACAUUUGUUCAGUCAAACUUAGCCAGAGUUCCAACGCCCUACUUAAAAUUCAACUAGAAAGUUACCUACCAAGUACUAAUUAACAUUAUAAAGUCAGAGCCUACAGCUCCAGGCUUUUCAGUUAGUUGUUCACUAAGAUAAGAAAGGUCACUCUUAGCCAGAUACAGUUUACCAUAAGAAAAGUUAAGGAAUCCCAGGAAAGCAGGUUUUUUCCUUAGCCCUAGAUUCCAGGCAGAACUAUUGAGCAUAGAUAAUUUUUCCCCCUCAGUCCAGCUUUUUCUUUUUUUAAAUUUUGUUAAUAAAAGGGAGGAGAUGUAGUCUCCCCUCCCCCAGCCUGAAACCUGCUUGCUCGGGGUGGAGCUUCCUGCUCAUUCGUUCUGCCACGCCCACUGCUGGAACCUGAGGAGCCACACACGUGCACCUUUCUACUGGACCAGAGAUUAUUCGGCGGGAAUCGGGUCCCCUCCCCCUUCCUUCAUAACUAGUGUCGCAACAAUAAAAUUUGAGCCUUGAUCAGA
rnacentral:lncRNA from 1 species